UUAAAAAAAGAGAUAUUCUGCCAAAAUAGUGAGGAAUAUAAUGCGUUUAAAUUGUUUUAGUUGUGGAUGAUUGUGUAUAACAUUCAGCUAUGGUCUAAAGUGAAAUGUAUACUGCAACAAAGACAUGAUCAAAUAUUUAUCGCUAUUAUCGACACGACCUAUCUGAAAUUAUCUCUAUAAAAUGCCCAUAUCUACGGCUGUCCUAUAACAAAGUGACAUAAAAGUAGUGUGUUAAUACGUUUUAAAACUUAAUUACGAGAUUGUGGUUUUGAUUUAGUGCAAGGACUAAGAAGGAACGUUUUAAUUUUUAAAGGAUAUAAGAAAGAAAAGGACAACAGGUGUCAAAAGUAACUGAAAGAUGCCUAGUAUAAAAACAAGAUCACUGAUAGGAAUAUUUCUAUCAACACUGUUAAGCUCGACAUCCCCUUCCACGACUAUGAGAACUACAUCGAAUACGACGUCAAUACUCCCUUCCAGUAUAUUAACCGCGACGUUAACUACUGAUUCAGAAACAUUGGGCACAACGUCAACAAUAGAUCCUACUACAUCGAGCACGACGUCAUUUAUUUCUUCUAUUACAUCGAGCACGUCGUCAAUUUCUCCUUCCAUUUCUUCGGG